rnacentral:rRNA from 1 species
AACGAACGCUGGCGGCAGGCUUAACACAUGCAAGUCGAGCGCCCCGCAAGGGGAGCCGCAGACGGGUGAGUAACGCGUGGGAACGUACCUUUUGGUUCGGAACAACUCCGGGAAACUGGAGCUAAUACCGGAUAAGCCCUAACGGGGAAAGAUUUAUCGCCGAAAGAUCGGCCCGCGUCUGAUUAGCUAGUUGGUGAGGUAACGGCUCACCAAGGCGACGAUCAGUAGCUGGUCUGAGAGGAUGAUCAGCCACACUGGGACUGAGACACGGCCCAGACUCCUACGGGAGGCAGCAGUGGGGAAUAUUGGACAAUGGGCGCAAGCCUGAUCCAGCCAUGCCGCGUGAGUGAUGAAGGCCUUAGGGUUGUAAAGCUCUUUUGUCCGGGAAGAUAAUGACUGUACCGGAAGAAUAAGCCCCGGCUAACUUCGUG